CGAUCGGAUAUUUUAUAUUAUGUUACGCCUUCGUCAAUAGUGUGCUACUUUUAUAACACUAAUAUACACAUUAAUUUUUUUCGAAAAAAAAUAAAUAAUGAAAAAAAACUACUUGGUCAGAUUUGGCAGCAUGUUCGAAGAUCGAAACACGGAGCGAUGCUUUAUGUCAAAUUCGCGUUAGUGUCGGUUAGGAAUUUAUGAUCUUUAUGUACAAAUUUUGCGAAAUUUUAUUGACAAUUAUAUGAAAUUAUUCUAUUCUGAAAGAUGACAUUAUCAGGAAAAUGUCAGAUAGUCUUGAACAUCAAGACACCUGAUGAGAUUAAAGAAGAAUCAUGGACUGCAGUAACUCUCAUCAAGGAAUUGAACACACCAGAGUCAUCAAUAAUGUGGUGUGCGGAAAGGCGUCUGUUGACAAAUGAACGCCACUGCACCUCGUGCAGCAAGUCGCUUUGUUUGACGGCAAAUAAGAGUGUCAUUGACAAAUAUCAGUGGCGUUGUAAGAAGUGUUCUGUUGUAGAAUCCAUUCGUAAAAAAUCUGUCUUUCAAAAUUGUCAUUUAACUAUUUUACAAAUUAUAAUAAUUAUGUAUUUUUGGUCAAGAGAGUAUCCGUCCAGAAUAGCUGCAGUGGAAGUUGAAGUGAGUAAAAAAGUGGCCAUAGAUUGGUAUAAUUUCUUUAGAGAUAUCUGCAAAAAUUACUUUGAUUCCCAUCCAGUUCAACUAGGAGGUUUGGAUGAUAAUGGAUUUCCAAAGGUAGUAGAAGUGGAUGAGACAUUUAUUUUCCAUAAGAAUCAUAAUUGUGAACAAACUAAAAAUGAUAGAAAAUGCGUAUUUGGAGGCAUCGAACGUGAUUCGCGAAAGUGUUUCCUAGUGGAAGUACCAAACCGGAAAGCUCAAACACUUUUUCCAAUUAUAGAACAAUAUGUAUUGCCUGGAAGCAGGAUUAUAUCGGAUGACUGUUCUGCAUAUGCCAAAAUUGGCCAAAUAAAUGAUGGGAUAUAUCAGCACGAUAGCGUCCACGAACGAGAUUUUGUGGAUGGCAUAGAUCCAGAAAUCCACACUCAACACAUUAAAAAUAUGUGGUCAAGAGCAAAACAAAAAUUAAAACAUCAAUAUUAUAAAAAUACCAAAUUAUUUCAACCUUAUUUAUUAGAAUUUCAAUGGCGAUGUUUGUUUAAAACUCAUGCUUUUGAAAACUUUUUAAUGUGUGUUUCAAAUAAAUAUCCAUGUUAAUUUUUUAAUUGUCUUUUUUUAUGAUGGAAUUUGUACAUCUUAUAUGUGUUCAAUAUUGAUCAUCUGAUUUAUCCCAGUCAAGAUUCUCCUAAAUUAAUAGCUAAUUAGAUUUCAGUUUGCAUCAACAUUAUUUGAUGAUUCUCCAUUUACUUUUAAGUAAUGAACAUAACAAUGACUAUAGAGGAUCAUAGUCUCAAUUGAAUGGCAGUGAUUUUUAUAAGGAAGAGAAGAGACAAUAUGAAAUAUGCAUUUCCUAUAUCUGUGAAUAAAGUUUAAUGUAAGUUUGCUAAUCAAGUUGUCCAGUAAGAAUCUACAGAGUUGCUGCUACUGUUGUCAAACUGAUAUGAAUUAAUACAUCCGGUCCAAUGAUACUUGCUUGGAUGAGUAAAAUAUUUUCUUUUUUUAUAUAAUUUUGAGUAUUUAUUCAACAAUGGAAGUUUUCUGAAAAAUAAGAAAUAUAUUUGUGAAUAAAUAUUUAU
rnacentral:misc_RNA from 1 species